rnacentral:rRNA from 1 species
AGCUUCAAUAAUAGCAUAUAUUAAAGUUGUUGCAGUUAAAAAGCUUGUAGUUGAUUUGUGGUGUGUGUCGUGGUGUCCAUUAGUUUGGUUCUGCUGUGGCCGUGCCAUCCUUGGGUGGAUCCUUUAUGGCAUUAGGUUGUCGUUUAGGGGAUGCCCAUUGUUUACUGUGAAAAAAUUAGAGUGUUCAAAGCAAGCUUAUGCCGUUGAAUAUAUUAGCAUGGAAUAAUAAGAUAGGUCUUUGGUCCUAUUUUGUUGGUUUGCAGGCCGGAGAAAUUAUUAACAGGGACAGUUGGGGGUAUUCAUAUUCCAUUGUCUGAGGUGAAAUUCUUGGAUUUCUGGAAGACGAACUACUGCGAAAGCAUUUACCAAGGAUGUUUUAA